UAAGAAGUGUCAGAAUAAUGAAUUAAAUUUAGAAUUUAAAUAUGGGUAAUCCCCUCUUUUUAA
rnacentral:tRNA from 1 species